GGUGGAUUAGUGGCGAACGGGUGAGUAACACGUGGGCAAUCUGCCCUUCACUCUGGGACAAGCCCUGGAAACGGGGUCUAAUACCGGAUACAACCACUGACCGCAUGGUCGGGUGGUGGAAAGCUCCGGCGGUGAAGGAUGAGCCCGCGGCCUAUCAGCUUGUUGGUGAGGUAAUGGCUCACCAAGGCGACGACGGGUAGCCGGCCUGAGAGGGCGACCGGCCACACUGGGACUGAGACACGGCCCAGACUCCUACGGGAGGCAGCAGUGGGGAAUAUUGCACAAUGGGCGAAAGCCUGAUGCAGCGACGCCGCGUGAGGGAUGACGGCCUUCGGGUUGUAAACCUCUUUCAGCAGGGAAGAAGCGAAAGUGACGGUACCUGCAGAAGAAGCGCCGGCUAACUACGUGCCAGCAGCCGCGGUAAUACGUAGGGCGCAAGCGUUGUCCGGAAUUAUUGGGCGUAAAGAGCUCGUAGGCGGCUUGUCACGUCGAUUGUGAAAGCCCGAGGCUUAACCUCGGGUCUGCAGUCGAUACGGGCUAGCUAGAGUGUGGUAGGGGAGAUCGGAAUUCCUGGUGUAGCGGUGAAAUGCGCAGAUAUCAGGAGGAACACCGGUGGCGAAGGCGGAUCUCUGGGCCAUUACUGACGCUGAGGAGCGAAAGCGUGGGGAGCGAACAGGAUUAGAUACCCUGGUAGUCCACGCCGUAAACGGUGGGAACUAGGUGUUGGCGACAUUCCACGUCGUCGGUGCCGCAGCUAACGCAUUAAGUUCCCCGCCUGGGGAGUACGGCCGCAAGGCUAAAACUCAAAGGAAUU
rnacentral:rRNA from 1 species